CCUACGGGUGGCAGCAGUGGGGAAUAUUGCACAAUGGGCGCAAGCCUGAUGCAGCCAUGCCGCGUGUAGGAAGAAGGCCUUCGGGUUGUAAAGUACUUUCAGCGGGGAGGAAGGCGAUAAGGUUAAUAACCUUGUCGAUUGACGUUACCCGCAGAAGAAGCACCGGCUAACUCCGUGCCAGCAGCCGCGGUAAUACGGAGGGUGCAAGCGUUAAUCGGAAUUACUGGGCGUAAAGCGCACGCAGGCGGUCUGUCAAGUCAGACGUGAAAUCCCCGGGCUCAACCUGGGAACUGCAUUCGAAACUGGCAGGCUAGAGUCUUGUAGAGGGGGGUAGAAUUCCAGGUGUAGCGGUUAAAUGCGUAGAGAUCUGGAGGAAUACCGGAGGCGAUGGCGGCCCCCUGGACAAAGACUGACGCUCAGGUGCGAAAGCGUGGGGAGCAAACAGGAUUAGAUAUCCUCGUAGUC
rnacentral:rRNA from 1 species